rnacentral:tRNA from 1 species
GUUUAAAUAGCUUAAUUUAGAGCAUAGUAUUGAAGAUACUAGGGUAAUUGGUUAUAAAUUUUUAAAUA